CACUGUGCUCAGGCCACACAGCGCGCCACUUACGGGUGACGCCCUAGCUUUAGCGCGAUUUCGUUCUGGAUUCAUUUUCAUAAGGAUUCGACGUGAUCAUGGAAUCCCCAAAGAUGAAUCAGAAAGAAUCCCCAAAGACUACAAGACGAAUCUCCCCUCUCUUGCUGCAAGAUGAAUCCCAAUUUGCAAGACGAAUCUCUCCUCUCUCGCUUCAAGACGAAUCUGCAAUUUGCGUGACGACGAAGAAAAGUAGGAUGGUGGGGAUGUCGGUGCAAAGAGGAGAGAAGCAGACUAGAGGUGAAUUGAACAGUUGUCGGAGAAGAGGAGUGGGGUGGGUGGGGCUGUCGGUGCAAAGAGAAGACAGAAACAAACGAAGCAUAUGAAGAAGACGAAACGAAUCAGACGAAGUGAAGCGAGCGAAGCGAGAAGGGGCUUAGCAGUCCUCUCGUAUUUGGGGGGGUCUCGCUAAGACCUUCUAACGAAGGUGUUAGUCGAGACGAGUCCCACUUAAUACCAUUAAAGGUAAUCCCUCCCUGUAACAAACACAAGACUAGACUGACUUUUAGUCCAGUCUAGUCUAGUGAGACUUAACGAAGGGAAACAAACACACCCUUAGAGACUUGGUGAGUAUUGAGUUAUAUUUACCUUAAUUUGAAAACUUAGAGCUGAUAGAGAGGUCAAGCUACCAAUCCUUAAUGGGUAUAUUUUUCCAGGGAUUACUGUCAGAAUAUAGGGAGAACAGUCGGGAUUUGUCGCGUUACAGACCCCGACUUCUAGGCUAGGAGUCUCUAGUAGAGAGCAGUUGAAUCUCCAUCUUCCAUUAAUCAGAAGUGAUUGCAAAGCUAACGGAAUGUACAUUAAGUUUAUAAAACAUGGGCAACGUAUUCUGUAAAAUGAUCUCUACUUUUGUUCUUCAAGUUAGGAAACAACCUUUCCAAUAUUUAUGUUGUUUUCAGGGGAAAAGUGAAACAUGGUGAAUAGUUAGAAACACAAAAAGGAACCUUUCAAGUGGAAUAAAUGUUUCAUUCUUCAGAGACUCUGUUGUUGGUCCUCGCUUUUCAUGUUUAUAUGACCUUCUUUUUAGAAAGUGCGAUAUCAACUACCAUCAGUGUUUUGCUACACGAGGGAUAGGGUAGUAUUACAAAUUCAGUUAUGAAAAUAAACUCUUGAAAUAAUUUGUUCUUGUAAAUAGUGUAGAGAAGAUGUUACCUUAAAUAAUAAUCUAAUUAGCCUUUGUUUGCCGUUUCAGUUACAAAAUAUGUGUGUGCGCGCGCUCGCGCGCAUUAUGGAUCUUUAUGUGGGGCAGAACAUAUAUAUGCAUUGACUUUUGUUUUCCUAAUUGGGCAGAUGUCGUAGCUUAUUAGAAGUCGUAAGGUGGUGACGACUGCAACUUGUUCGAUUGCCCCGCCUCCUACUUCAGUCGCCACUGCUCCAGCAUAAAUGGAGCCCAGGCUGGUUAAUCCGGUUGAUGUGGUUGAUCCAGUUGCUUCCCGAGUCUCCCAGGAGUUGGCAUCAUCAGCCUCUUGAGUGGUGCUACCUAUUGGCGCUAGGCGUGGUCACCGCCGCCCCUGCACGCCUAACAGGAUAUCGGCAUCCACUACUGAUGUCUCGGGGUCCCACAAGAAAAAUACUCGGGGACCUUGUCGUCAGUUGAAGACUUCGAACGUCACGUCAUUGGUUACAUCGUUUGGACCUAUUGCCCUAUGCGAUGAAAGUCUUGGAAGGCGAUGCCAGACGAGGUGAAGAUGAAGAAAAACUACGAUUUCGACGACAUCAACGACGAUAUGUUGGCGUACGUCAACAUUGAAUGGUACAAGCAGUGGAAGAGCAACCUGCACCAAUAUUUUCAGACAUUUGAUGAUCUGCAGAAGAAAAGAAAGGAACGGAUGGAGAAGAAGAAAGAAAGGAAUAAAAAAAGAAAAGAAGGAAUAAAAAAAAUUAAAAGAAGAAUAAGUGAGUCCACACAUGAGGGAUCCAAAGAAAGAUAUACGAAAGAAGAAGAAAAAGGAGAAUCCAAGGCGUGAAAGGGAUAGAGGCGGGAGACAGAGAAGACUUGAAAAAGUGGGAAAUAAAAAUAAUAAGAUAGAGAGGAGAAAGCAGCUGGCAGAGACGAAAUUGGGGGGGGGGGAGAGAUGGAGCUGCCUUUGGCAGCACGGGGUCAGAGAGGAUAGAGAUACGUGAGGGAAGCAAAUAAGAAAGAAGAAAGAAAAAAAAGGUGAGGGACUGACAGAAAAGCAGAGGGCUGCCCUUUGGGCAGCGUGAGGCUGCGCAGAAAUAAAAGGGACAGUUCGGCAUGGCAGGAGAGAAGUGACGCAGGGAGUGAGGGCAGAAGCACAGAAACGCAGCAGAUCUUAUUCUCUCGGUUAAAUCUUUCCAACUUAUGAUUAAUUUUUGGUUUAAUUUUAGAAUAAUGUGUAGCUAAAUUUAUUUUGGCUAGAGGUUAAU